AGAGUUUGAUCCUGGCUCAGGAUGAACGCUAGCGACAGGCUUAACACAUGCAAGUCGAGGGGCAGCACGGUGUAGCGAUACACUGGUGGCGACCGGCGCACGGGUGAGUAACACGUGUGCAACCAACCCCGUACCGGGAGAUAACCCGCGGAAACGUGGACUAACAUCCCAUGAGACUCGAGAGCCGCAUGGCUCUAGAUUUAAAAUUCCGGUGGUACGGGACGGGCACGCGCGACAUUAGGUAGUUGGCGGGGUAACGGCCCACCAAGCCGACGAUGUCUAGGGGUUCUGAGAGGAAGGUCCCCCACACUGGAACUGAGACACGGUCCAGACUCCUACGGGAGGCAGCAGUGAGGAAUAUUGGUCAAUGGGCGAGAGCCUGAACCAGCCAAGUAGCGUGAAGGAUGACUGCCCUAUGGGUUGUAAACUUCUUUUAUAUGGGAAUAAAGUGGUCCACGUGUGGACUUUUGUAUGUACCAUAUGAAUAAGGAUCGGCUAACUCCGUGCCAGCAGCCGCGGUAAUACGGGGGAUGCGAGCGUUAUCCGGAUUUAUUGGGUUUAAAGGGCGCGUAGGCGGGACGUCAAGUCAGCGGUAAAAGACUGCAGCUAAACUGUAGCACGCCGUUGAAACUGGCGCCCUGGAGACGAGACGAGGGAGGCGGAACAAGUGAAGUAGCGGUGAAAUGCAUAGAUAUCACUUGGAACCCCGAUAGCGAAGGCAGCUUCCCAGGCUCGUUCUGACGCUGAUGCGCGAGAGCGUGGGUAGCGAACAGGAUUAGAUACCCUGGUAGUCCACGCCGUAAACGAUGCUCACUGGAUCUUGGCGAUACACGGCCAGGGUUCAAGCGAAAGUAUUAAGUGAGCCACCUGGGGAGUACGUCGGCAACGAUGAAACUCAAAGGAAUUGACGGGGGCCCGCACAAGCGGAGGAACAUGUG
rnacentral:rRNA from 1 species